CCUGCUGACCCCAAUGUAGCUGCUUACUUCCCUCUGAUCCCAACCUGUUUUGGGCUUGAUGAACUCACCCCUCCACCAUUUUCAGGAUUAGGGCUUUGUGAAGCUCAAGUGUUUUUUUUUUCCAUUCUUUUCUUUUUGUUAGAAGAGUAGUUGAUUGAGUGAGUAGAGAAAGUUUGGUGAGGGUUAUGUCAGAGUUUGCUUUGGAAUAAGAUUUUCUUUUUUCUUUUAAAAUUGCACUGUUUCAGCAUCCAUCUUUCAAGAGUUGGCAAUGUCAUCCCAGGCCUGUGGAAAGUGUGUUGAUGUCUUGGCCAAGCAAGUUGUAGCAAAGGCCUACCUGGCACCAUGUAGGUUGCGUGAACCAAAGUUGCCUUUAGGAAAAGUCUGUCUAUGAAAAGAAGAAGCCAAGUUGGUCUUAUCCCAAGAAUGGACAAGAUUCUUUGCUCUAGAAAAGUGAAUUCAAUGGGCCAUUUUUCACUCUGCUGAAAAGGCUGGAAAUCAGAAACCAUGGUCUGUAUUCUUCUUUAAAGAACUCAGCACGUUGGUGAAAAACAAUGCAUGUUUGCUUUGUUCUGGGCAUCUGAAAAAAACAUCUCUUAUCUUUUCUUCAGAUCCACACUUACGCUGACAUUAAUGUACCUAAAGCCAAUUGAUGUCAUGCAUAUUGAAUAGUGUGGCAUCUACCCAGAAGGAAAUGAAGUGGAUUCAGAAGAAGAAUGAGGAGCAAUUGGUCGAAGCAUUGAAUGAUGCUGUUGACGAUUGAUGAUGAUGAUGGCAAUGAUACGUUUCUAGAACAUUCUUUCAGCAUUUUUAGUCUCAUCAUUUGUUACCCAUAUACAAGAAGCAGAAAUUUGAUGCUCUUAAAUUACAUCAUUUUGGAAUCAAUUUCAUAAAAGGAGGCAGAUAUGUUGGAGAAAGCCUAACACAAACCUCUGUGGAUACAUCAUAAAAAUCAUAAUGGGCUGCCAACCAGGCGUAUCCACCAACUCCUGCUGCAGUGAUUCAUCCUGAAAAUGUUUGGAGGAAAUAUAUGACUACUAACUGUCUGCAGUGGUGAAGACGUACCACAGAAAACCGUUCAUUGCUUUCUGUGACUGUAUUGCAGAUCAACCACCCUGAGAGCAGGUGUAUCAUACCGUAUGCAGACUUUCACCCAGGCGACAAUUCUUGAUGUCAAGUCCUUUGGGUGCUACAUUCUAGCAAGCCUCAGCUUUUUAACCCACCUUAGAUGUUGCCAAUGGCUGGAAUUUUUUUCCCCUUGUGCGCAGUUUAAUUUUUCUUCGGUUAUACAGCUGUAAGAAUAAUUAGUAGAAUUGAGAGUCAGGGUGACUUCAAUCAAAAGCAAAAGAGCCAGUGCCAUUUGCUUAUAUGUGUUUUUUGGAGGGUUUAAUUGACCACAAGAUGGUACCCAGGUUUCCCUAUGUCAUGCAGCUCCACAAGAAUUUAAUGAAAACAGAGGUAAAGAUUAUCCCCGUUUUUCAGACAGAAAUGAGAUGGAGAAGGAAAGAUUUCCCAGUAGCCUGCUACCAACCGAUCAUUUUAAAAUUUGAAUUCAAGAUUGUUCGAUUUCACUUAGCAUAUUUAUAAAUACAUACUGUCUUAAAAAUAUGACUUAAUUUUGUUGUGGGAGGGCAGUAUGAUGACUCACAUUUUUAGCAAAUAUUCUUUUACAAGUAUAUUGUGAAGAAAUCACUAUCACACUGGGUGGAGAUGGAAGCACACAGUUUUUGAAUGUGCAUGGUGGCUAAGAGAUCUGCAGUGUUUAAACUUAAAAAAAACCCUCACAUGCGUACUGUUGCCUGAGGGCAUUUGUAGAGAAACUUCUUCCAUUCCCAGAUCUUUCCUGGAUUAAUGUGAAAUGGAACAAUUUUGGGAAGUGCUACUGAAGACAAGUCCUCUCUCUGCAAAACAACAACAGAGUUCCCUUUCCCUCAUAUCCUACUAGAGUUCCCCCGCCAACCUCUUAAGCAAAACAAUCUUAACUUUGAAGAAGUUUUGGAAUAACCAGUACAGGAGGGCAUCUUCUAGUUUAUGUCAAUAACCUAACAAUCUCAACUGACUCCUUCAUUUAGUUAUGCUCAACUCGAGUCUGCUCAAAAACUAAACUAAAGUAUUUUGAUUCCAGAACUUGUUGAUGUAUAAGAAGGUGCUAAGAAAUAUAAUUUUCUACUAAGAAACUGUGUUUUCCAGAAAGAAUUAUUUCUGAAGUUUCUGGAGUUAGACAGACAAACAGACAGAAGACCAGACUUCUUGGGUGGUAGUGAAUGGAGAUGCAAGUGACUUAUCUUUUUUUUCCCCCCAAAGGCAAGUAUCUGGUUUUGGAGUUUUCUUUUAUUAAGAAAGGUUGAGGAAAUGAACAAUGUCUUUGAAGAGUGGAGGUCCUUUGAGAUAAAUCAAGCCACUGGACUGAUGGUUAGAAAAAGUCCAGAGAGAACGUAACUCAAUGGUAAGGCUGUUGCUUUGCAUGGAAAAGAUCUAAGGUUGAGUUUUUAUGUGGUGAGGGCUAAAGUUGAGUAUGUGUGGGAAGAUAUUUCCUGUAUUCUAAUUAAUGGCAUGGAAUUACCCCAAUUAUAGAUGAUUUCUAUAGCUUUUUACAUCCAUAAUGGAAAAAGUUCUGCCCCAUUUCUGCAUUGUUUGUGUUGUGUAUCAGGUUAUUGAUCGUUUAGGUAGGCCUGUGAUCUGCUACUAUUAUUUGAUUACCAUGGGCUCCCUGAAUAUGUUAGACUUCUCAAAGAUUCUAUAGAUAUAAUUCUUCUGGGAGUGUUAGUAAAACAACCAGGAGAAAAACCCUCCUCAUGAUUCUUAUGCCAUUUGUUUAAUAAGUGUAAAAGCCAGAAUCAUUUGCCUUUUGAAUGUCUCAAAAGCAACAAAAAAAUAUACUUUUUGUAAAUAAUCAGCUCUCCUGUGUAUGUACUUUAAAUGAGUUUGAUUGGAGUGCAAUAUCAGAAACUUAAUAAUAGCCUGCAAUAUUUAGGUCAAGUGCAUCACCAUUCAUGGAUUAGCCUGGGAAAUGCAAAUUAGCAGUUAAAUUAAUUUCUACUUGCUGAUCAAAUGGACAGAUCAAGGAAACAAUGAGAUUGCUAGAAGUGGGAUGUCAUCCUGUGAUGGCUGGUCCCAAAGGAAUUAUGUUUUAUGGAAAAUGUUCUUCAUUUUACAAAGGUUAGUAGACAAUAACAUCAUGGAUUGCCAAGAAUGGUUAUUGUUUAAAAUUAUUGCUCCUGUGUCUGAUACAUAAACACUACAUAUAUUAUUGGAACAAGAAAAAUUGAAAUAUAUUCACUUUUGCUAAUUCCAUUCACAUUCCAACAUAUUCUACUAUAUUCACUAUUUCUCUAAUUUCUUUCUUAUUUCCACGUAAGCUAACCCAUUCAAAGCCUUUGAAAAACAUAUAAGGGAGAAUGUUUAAAAAGAAAAUUUCCAUGUAGGAGAGGAUAGAUGAUUAAAGUUCCUUCCACAUUGGAUUUCCAAAGAGCACCUCACUACAUGGGAAUAAAACUGUUCCUCAGAAAUAAACAAUACAAUAACAAUGUUCUUGCUGUCCAGUUAAUCCUAUUUGGGCACCUGAAUGGGAAUAGUUAUCUUGGCACUGUGGUCAGAGGGAAAUUUCAGUGGAAGCAUUACAAUGAUUAUGAGUGGGAGAAACACAACUCCCUUAACUUUUCCUUAGAAUAUAGCAGCAUGGAUGAAAAAUCUUCAGGUUUUUUCCAGCAUUUCAUUUGAUAUUCCUUUGUCAGAUUUGGCACGGAGAUAAUGCAAAUUUGAAUUUUCCAGAUUUUCUUGUUGUUGAUAAACUAGCAAUUAAACAUCAGGAAGUAGAAAGUGGUGGUGUGGGACUUAUAUGUGUUAUUGUAUUAUAGGUCCCUAUUGGCUAAGAGCUGUUAUAUCCAAACUCAGCUGACUGAGAACCUGAAGAGUAGGAAGAAGAUUU